rnacentral:rRNA from 1 species
GACGAACGCUGGCGGCGUGCUUAACACAUGCAAGUCGAACGGAAAGGCCCUGCUUUUGUGGGGUGCUCGAGUGGCGAACGGGUGAGUAACACGUGAGUAACCUGCCCUUGACUUUGGGAUAACUUCAGGAAACUGGGGCUAAUACCGGAUAGGAGCUCCUGCUGCAUGGUGGGGGUUGGAAAGUUUCGGCGGUUGGGGAUGGACUCGCGGCUUAUCAGCUUGUUGGUGGGGUAGUGGCUUACCAAGGCUUUGACGGGUAGCCGGCCUGAGAGGGUGACCGGCCACAUUGGGACUGAGAUACGGCCCAGACUCCUACGGGAGGCAGCAGUGGGGAAUAUUGCACAAUGGGCGGAAGCCUGAUGCAGCAACGCCGCGUGCGGGAUGACGGCCUUCGGGUUGUAAACCGCUUUCGCCUGUGACGAAGCGUGAGUGACGGUAAUGGGUAAAGAAGCACCGGCUAACUACGUGCCAGCAGCCGCGGUGAUACGUAGGGUGCGAGCGUUGUCCGGAUUUAUUGGGCGUAAAGGGCUCGUAGGUGGUUGAUCGCGUCGGAAGUGUAAUCUUGGGGCUUAACCCUGAGCGUGCUUUCGAUACGGGUUGACUUGAGGAAGGUAGGGGAGAAUGGAAUUCCUGGUGGAGCGGUGGAAUGCGCAGAUAUCAGGAGGAACACCAGUGGCGAAGGCGGUUCUCUGGGCCUUUCCUGACGCUGAGGAGCGAAAGCGUGGGGAGCGAACAGGCUUAGAUACCCUGGUAGUCCACGCUGUAAACGGUGGGUACUAGGUGUGGGGUCCAUUCCACGGGUUCCGUGCCGUAGCUAACGCUUUAAGUACCCCGCCUGGGGAGUACGGCCGCAAGGCUAAAACUCAAAGGAAUUGACGGGGCCCCGCACAAGCGGCGGAGCAUGCGGAUUAAUUCGAUGCAACGCGUAGAACCUUACCUGGGUUUGACAUGGAUCGGGAGCGCUCAGAGAUGGGUGUGCCUCUUUUGGGGUCGGUUCACAGGUGGUGCAUGGCUGUCGUCAGCUCGUGUCGUGAGAUGUUGGGUUAAGUCCCGCAACGAGCGCAACCCUUGUUCACUGUUGCCAGCACGUCAUGGUGGGGACUCAGUGGAGACCGCCGGGGUCAACUCGGAGGAAGGUGGGGAUGGCGUCAAGUCAUCAUGCCCCUUAUGUCCAGGGCUUCACGCAUGCUACAAUGGCUGGUACAGAGAGUGGCGAGCCUGUGAGGGUGAGCGAAUCUCGGAAAGCCGGUCUCAGUUCGGAUUGGGGUCUGCAACUCGACCUCAUGAAGUCGGAGUCGCUAGUAAUCGCAGAUCAGCAACGCUGCGGUGAAUACGUUCCCGGGGCU